GACGGAGGAUGCAAGCGUUAUCCGGAAUGAUUGGGCGUAAAGCGUCCGCAGGUGGCAGUUCAAGUCUGCUGUCAAAGACCGGGGCUUAACUUCGGAAAGGCAGUGGAAACUGAACAGCUAGAGUAUGGUAGGGGCAGAGGGAAUUCCUGGUGUAGCGGUGAAAUGCGUAGAUAUCUGGAGGAAUACCGGUGGCGAAGGCGGCAUCCUGGACCGAGAUUGACACUAAAGCGCGAAAGCCAGGGGAGCAAACGGG
rnacentral:rRNA from 1 species